rfam:Oryza rufipogon genomic scaffold, chr04
AAGAAAAAAAAAUUUAGAUUUCUAUGUCUAACUUUGACUGUCCGUCUUAUAUAAAAAUUUUUUAUAAUUCGUAUUUUUAUUGUUGUUAGAUGAUAAAACAUGAUUAACAUUUUAUACGUGACUUGUCUUUUUAAUUUUUUUUAUAAUUUUUUCAAAUAAGUCGGACGGUCAAAUGUUAGACACGGAAACCAGGGUGGGUUUGUC